GAUGAACGCUGGCGGCGUGCCUAAUACAUGCAAGUCGAGCGAACAGACGAGGAGCUUGCUCCUCUGACGUUAGCGGCGGACGGGUGAGUAACACGUGGAUAACCUACCUAUAAGACUGGGAUAACUUCGGGAAACCGGAGCUAAUACCGGAUAAUAUAUUGAACCGCAUGGUUCAAUAGUGAAAGACGGUUUUGCUGUCACUUAUAGAUGGAUCCGCGCCGCAUUAGCUAGUUGGUAAGGUAACGGCUUACCAAGGCAACGAUGCGUAGCCGACCUGAGAGGGUGAUCGGCCACACGGGAGCUGAGACACGGUCCAGACUCCUACGGGAGGCAGCAGUAGGGAAUCUUCCGCAAUGGGCGAAAGCCUGACGGAGCAGCGCGGCGUGAGUGAUGAAGGUCUUCGGAUCGUAAAACUCUGUUAUUAGGGAAGAACAAAUGUGUAAGUAACUAUGCACGUCUUGACGGUACCUAAUCAGAAAGCCACGGCUAACUACGUG
rnacentral:rRNA from 1 species